rnacentral:rRNA from 1 species
AUGAUGGUCCUAAGCUGGAACUGCCGGGGACUUGGGCAACCCCGGACAGUUCAGGAGCUCGUGUGCUUAGUGCACACGUACAAGCCUAAGCUUGUGUUCCUCUCUGAAACGCAGCAGAGCAACCAGUACGUCAAUAAACUUAGAUGGAGGCUAGGCCUCAAGCAUUGUAUUGCGCAACCUGGCAAAGGAAAAAGUGCCGGCAUUGCACUCCUGUAUGAUGAAAGUGUUGAAAUAAUAGAGCUCUCCGUUGGC